AAUCAAACAAAACAAAUACCAAUGCCACUAUCAACGAAUCAACUUUGCCGUAAACUGAACACAGUUGACCUGAUCGUUUAAAUGUUUCAACUUCAGAGUUAGUUUAACAUUGCAAUGCUUGCUUUUCUUUGCUCGUUGCAAAAUUAUUGAGUUUCAGAUUAAAGUAACUACCAUAACACACCACAGCUAGCUUCUUUCCUUCAGCACAGCCUGCUCCGAUAAACACACCAACCCAACACCCAAACACACACUUGCUUGUCACACCACACCACACCAGCUUGCUUUGGGUUGCUAAACUCUCCUGCUAUCGCGAGUCAGCCAGGCCAGCCAGCCUGCUUUUUUUCUCCUUCAUAUGUCAUGCAUGUGGCUGUUGUGCCGUUCUGUGUUGUGUGCAUUUACUUUUCAUUGUCGUUUUCGUUCGCGUCCGCAAAAGAGAGGAUGCAAGUUGAACAACCCCUCCGGCUUUCGUCCAGGAUGUCGUCGUCGACGACGACGACGACGGUCUCCAGCAAGGAGUAGCGGAGGGGUCAAAAAUCGACCAACAGGAGGAGACACACACAAAACAUUACCCCACCGAAACAAACAAAAAAGAAAACGUUGUGUUGAUGUGUGUGCGUCCGACAGGACGACUCAUCAACCUCUUACCAACACAAAGCGCGCUGGGCCUUUUUUAAAUGUUCCUUUAUCUCGCACACACACACAUGUUUUGAUAUCCCUUUUUCGACGACGGCUCUCUUUCUCACACGUAUGACGCGCCCCGGCGGAGGGCGCCUGAGCACACAGGACGAAGGCGACGACGACGGCCGUGGGCCGUGCAGGAAGAAGCUGGAGGCAGCGCAGCGGCCAUGGAAAAACCCCACCGCCAACCUCCGACGACGACGACAAAGAAGAAGCCGCGAGCCGCAUAAAAAAUGUACUUUUUUUUAUAAUCACACAUCAUUUUUGUAGAAUUUAAGGACACACUCUUUUAAGUUUCUGGUAGAUUUAUAUGUAAUCACACAGUAAUAGGUUCCCCCACAGGUAAUUUCAAACGUCGACCAUGGUACAUCCUGUCGGCGCGGUCACUCCCUUCUUCCAGGUCCUUUCAUUUUUCGUUUCUUGCGCGUUGCGC